rnacentral:rRNA from 1 species
UACGAAGGGGGCUAGCGUUGCUCGGAAUCACUGGGCGUAAAGGGCGCGUAGGCGGUCUGCUAAGCGUGUGGUGAAAGCUCGGGGCUCAACCCCGAGUCUGCCAUGCGAACUGGUGGACUGGAGCACUGUAGAGGCAGGUGGAAUUCCGGGUGUAGCGGUGGAAUGCGUAGAGAUCCGGAAGAACACCAGUGGCGAAGGCGGCCUGCUGGGCAGUUGCUGACGCUGAGGCGCGACAGCGUGGGGAGCAAACAGG